ensembl:misc_RNA
CCCUCAGUACGCCACUUGGCUUUUCUAAGUAUCCGCAUAAUAUAAAUGGCAUCAGAACGUGAGGGGCAGGAGCCACGUGAUCCUUCCACGAAAGCCACUUG